rnacentral:rRNA from 1 species
UACGUAGGGUGCGAGCGUUAAUCGGAAUUACUGGGCGUAAAGCGUGCGCAGGCGGUUUUGUAAGCCAGAUGUGAAAUCCCCGGGCUUAACCUGGGAAUGGCAUUUGGGACUGCAAGGCUUGAGUGCGGCAGAGGAGACUGGAAUUCCUGGUGUAGCAGUGAAAUGCGUAGAUAUCAGGAGGAACACCGAGUGGCGAAGGCAGGUCUCUGGGCUGACACUGACGCUCGAUGCAUCGG